rnacentral:rRNA from 1 species
CGUACANGGUCUCCGUAGGUGAACCUGCGGAGGGAUCAUUACAAGAACGCCCGGGCUUCGGCCUGGUUAUUCAUAACCCUUUGUUGUCCGACUCUGUUGCCUCCGGGGCGAUCCUGCCUUCGGGCGGGGGCUCCGGGUGGACACUUCAAACUCUUGCGUAACUUUGCAGUCUGAGUAAACUUAAUUAAUAAAUUAAAACUUUUAACAACGGAUCUCUUGGUUCUGGCAUCGAUGAAGAACGCAGCGAAAUGCGAUAAGUAAUGUGAAUUGCAGAAUUCAGUGAAUCAUCGAAUCUUUGAACGCACAUUGCGCCCCCUGGUAUUCCGGGGGGCAUGCCUGUUCGAGCGUCAUUUCACCACUCAAGCCUCGCUUGGUAUUGGGCAACGCGGUCCGCCGCGUGCCUCAAAUCGUCCGGCUGGGUCUUCUGUCCCCUAAGCGUUGUGGAAACUAUUCGCUAAAGGGUGUUCGGGAGGCUACGCCGUAAAACAACCCCAUUUCUAAGGUUGACCUCGGAUCAGGUAGGGAUACCCGCUGAACUUAAGCAUAUCA